rnacentral:lncRNA from 10 species
GAAGUUGUCUCUGAAACCCGGGGACAGAGGACGCAGGACAGACUAGGAGGGAGCCGGGAGGAUGGGCUGCAGCUGUGGAGGAGGGUUUCAGAGGAGAGAGGGUGGAAAGUGAGCAGCGGGCUGGGCUGGAGCCGCACACGCUCUCCUCCCAUGUUAAAUAGCACCUUUAGAAAAAUUCACAAGUCCCCAUCCACAAAAAA